GGGAAACCGGAGCUAAUACCGGAUAAUAUUUUGAACCGCAUGGUUCAAAAGUGAAAGACGGUCUUGCUGUCACUUAUAGAUGGAUCCGCGCUGCAUUAGCUAGUUGGUAAGGUAACGGCUUACCAAGGCAACGAUGCAUAGCCGACCUGAGAGGGUGAUCGGCCACACUGGAACUGAGACACGGUCCAGACUCCUACGGGAGGCAGCAGUAGGGAAUCUUCCGCAAUGGGCGAAAGCCUGACGGAGCAACGCCGCGUGAGUGAUGAAGGUCUUCGGAUCGUAAAACUCUGUUAUUAGGGAAGAACAUAUGUGUAAGUAACUGUGCACAUCUUGA
rnacentral:rRNA from 1 species